rnacentral:rRNA from 1 species
CCUACGGGUGGCAGCAGUGGGGAAUAUUGGGCAAUGGACGCAAGUCUGACCCAGCAACGCCGCGUGAAGCAAGAAGGCUUUCGGGUUGUAAACUUCUUUUAAGGGGGAAGAGCAGAAGACGGUACCCCUUGAAUAAGCCACGGCUAACUACGUGCCAGCAGCCGCGGUAAUACGUAGGUGGCAAGCGUUAUCCGGAUUUAUUGGGUUUAAAGGGUGCGUAGGCGGAUUUUUAAGUCAGCGGUAAAAUGUCCGGGCUCAACCCGGGCCGGCCGUUGAAACUGGGGAUCUUGAGUGGGCGAGAGGUAUGCGGAAUGCGUGGUGUAGCGGUGAAAUGCAUAGAUAUCACGCAGAACUCCGAUUGCGAAGGCAGCAUACCGGCGCCCGACUGACGCUGAGGCACGAAAGCGUGGGGAUCGAACAGGAUUAGAUACCCGGGUAGUC